UACGGAGGGUGCAAGCGUUGUUCGGAAUUACUGGGCGUAAAGAGCGUGUAGGCGGCCGAUCAAGUCCGGUGUGAAAGCCCGGGGCUUACCCCCGGAAGUGCGCUGGAAACUGAUUGGCUCGAGUAUGGGAGAGGGAAGUGGAAUUCCUGGUGUAGCGGUGAAAUGCGUAGAUAUCAGGAGGAACACCGGCGGCGAAGGCGGCUUCCUGGACCAAUACUGACGCGGAGACGCGAAAGCGUGGGGAGCAAACAGG
rnacentral:rRNA from 1 species